AUUGAACGCUGGCGGCGGGCUUAACACAUGCAAGUCGAGCGGGGUGAUGGUGCUUGCACUAUCACUUAGCGGCGGACGGGUGAGUAAUGCUUAGGAAUCUGCCUAUUAGUGGGGGACAACAUCUCGAAAGGGAUGCUAAUACCGCAUACGUCCUACGGGAGAAAGCAGGGGAUCACUUGUGACCUUGCGCUAAUAGAUGAGCCUAAGUCGGAUUAGCUAGUUGGUGGGGUAAAGGCCUACCAAGGCGACGAUCUGUAGCGGGUCUGAGAGGAUGCACCGCCACACUGGGACAGAGACACGGCCCAGACUCCUACGGGAGGCAGCAGUGGGGAAUAUUGGACAAUGGGGGGAACCCUGAUCCAGCCAUGCCGCGUGUGUGAAGAAGGCCUUAUGGUUGUAAAGCACUUUAAGCGAGGAGGAGGCUCUUAUGGUUAAUACCCAAGAUGAGUGGACGUUACUCGCAGAAUAAGCACCGGCUAACUCUGUGCCAGCAGCCGCCGUAA
rnacentral:rRNA from 1 species